UUUCCAUCUUUGCAAACUGCUACAAGAAGUUGUCCUUUACAAACCCCUUUCAAAAAACACCAAUCCAUCCCAAUACAUGGCCAACAUCCAGCUAGGUGUUACUUCUUCAUUGCAUCAAAACAAAUGUAGAACCCAACAAACAUUUUCUUCCCACCUUCAAAUGUUUCCUCAUUAAGUUUCACUACACAUGUACUACCAGGAUUAGAUCUAAGCAACUCAUCCCUAUAAUCUAAAAUCUUCUAAUACUCCAAUUUAUGAUCACCCAUUAUCUCUUUCAGCACAAUAUUUUUUGCCCUCCUACAAACUGUCCUCUCAACAUAUAAACCUAAUUUCUUUC
rnacentral:lncRNA from 1 species